UUGGGGAAUGAUUGCUUUAUAAACUGUGUAUAGAAAUAAGGUGAGGUCUCUGAAGGAUUGUUCAUUAAACCAACAAUAUACAUGUAGGUAAAAAUGAUUAACCACAAUUUUCUACAGGAUCAACCAUUAUAAAACAAGCUAUAAAUUUGAUCAACCAUUAGUUUCCAUUGGAUCAGCCUUCAUAAAACUAGCAAUAUAGUUGAC
rnacentral:lncRNA from 1 species